rnacentral:rRNA from 1 species
UACAGAGGUCCCAAGCGUUGUUCGGAUUUACUGGCGUAAAGGGCGCGUAGGCGGCCAGCACAAGUCAGUUGUGAAAUCUCCGGGCUUAACUCGGAAAGGUCAACUGAUACUGUGCGGCUAGAGUGCAGAAGGGGCAACUGGAAUUCUCGGUGUAGCGGUGAAAUGCGUAGAUAUCGAGAGGAACACCUGCGGCGAAGGCGGGUUGCUGGGCUGACACUGACGCUGAUGCGCGAAAGCCAGGGAGCGAAGCGGG